AACGAACGCUGGCGGCAGGCUUAACACAUGCAAGUCGAGCGCCCCGCAAGGGGAGCGGCAGACGGGUGAGUAACGCGUGGGAAUCUACCCAUCUCUACGGAAUAACGCAUGGAAACGUGUGCUAAUACCGUAUACGUCCUUCGGGAGAAAGAUUUAUCGGAGAUGGAUGAGCCCGCGUUGGAUUAGCUAGUUGGUGGGGUAAAGGCCUACCAAGGCGACGAUCCAUAGCUGGUCUGAGAGGAUGAUCAGCCACACUGGGACUGAGACACGGCCCAGACGCCUACGGGAGGCAGCAGUGGGGAAUAUUGGACAAUGGGCGCAAGCCUGAGCCAGCCAUGCCGCGUGAGUGAUGAAGGCCCUAGGGUUGUAAAGCUCUUACACCGGUGGAGAUAAUGACGGUAACCGGAGAAGAAGCCCCGGCUAACUUCGUGCCAGCCGCCGCCGUAAUAC
rnacentral:rRNA from 1 species